rnacentral:rRNA from 1 species
AACGAACGCUGGCGGCGCGCCUAAUACAUGCAAGUCGAGCGAGAAGACGUAGCAAUACGUUUGUAAAGCGGCGAACGGGUGAGGAAUACAUGGGUAACCUACCCUCGAGUGGGGAAUAACUAGCCGAAAGGUUAGCUAAUACCGCGUACGCUCCUUGGACUUCGGUUCAGGGAGGAAAGCGAUACCGUGGGUAUCGCGCUCUUGGAUGGGCUCAUGUCCUAUCAGCUUGUUGGUGAGGAACGGCUCACCAAGGCUUCGACGGGUAGCUGGUCUGAGAGGACGAUCAGCCACACUGGCACUGCGACACGGGCCAGACUCCUACGGGAGGCAGCAGUAAGGAAUAUUGCGCAAUGGGCGAAAGCCUGACGCAGCAACGCCGCGUGAAGGAUGAAAUCCUUCGGGAUGUAAACUUCGCAAGUAUGGGAAGAAACAAAUGACGGUACCAUACGUAAGCCCCGGCUAACUCCGUGCCAGCCGCCGCUGUAAAG